rnacentral:rRNA from 1 species
GACGAACGCUGGCGGCGUGCCUAAUACAUGCAAGUAGAACGCUGAGGACUGGUGCUUGCACUGGUCUAAGGAGUUGCGAGCGGGUGAGUAACGCGUGGAUAACCUGCCUCACACUGGGGGAUAACAGUUAGAAAUGACUGCUAAUACCGCAUAAGCGCACAGUGCCGCAUGGCAGUGUGUGAAAAACUCCGGUGGUGUGAGAUGGAUCCGCGUCUGAUUAGCCAGUUGGCGGGGUAACGGCCCACCAAAGCGACGAUCAGUAGCCGACCUGAGAGGGUGACCGGCCACAUUGGGACUGAGACACGGCCCAA